GGCCACACCGGAGACACAAGGAAUCCGCACCUCCACCGCGUGAACCGCAGCUGCAGCUGCAGCUGCGAAGCAGCAAGGACAACUGGAGGACGGAGAAGAGCUGAUGCAGGAGACACGGGCCCUCAGCCCGCUCUCGACGCCGCCCCUGUUUCUCAGUGAGCCUGUCCUUGGUCUCCUCCAUCUUCUCCGUGAGGAGCUCCUUGGUCUCCUCCAUCCGGUCCUGCAAAUACUCCUUCACCGGAGGUGGCGUCGACAUGUAGCCGUGGCUGCGCAGAUACUUCACCAUGAAGGACGUGCCCCCCAAAGUCACUGUGUACCGGGCAGGCGUUGCGAUCUGCAGGGACAGCAAACGGGCAGACUGACACUGAUGACGACUACUGUUUCAAGCAAAAACAAUGCGACGCUGAAAUUCUUGCUAGUGACCAAACUAUAAAUUUUAUUUAGUUUCAUGAGCUUCACUUUAUUAUUUCACGAGGCUACAAUUACAGCCUACGUGGUUUUUCUGCCUAAUAUGCUGUGAGUAUCUCUCACCUGUACACUGACCCAGGGUUGUGGAACAUUCAGCGGCAGCACCAAAGUCUGUCACCACGUGCGAGUGAACGUGGUGGUGGCAGGGUCACUGGGAACCGGGGGGGAGUGCUCAGGGCCCUCCCAUCAACAAAGGCACUGUGUUCCCACUCCUCUGAGGCCCUGCCGACCGCAUGCUGUGUGUCUAAACUGGAACCACAAGUGAGAGGCAAGCAUGGGCCAAACGUGUUCCUCACUCAGUUUACUUCAGUUUCACUUUUGGAUUUCUUUUCCCUGACUUUUCCAGACAUUACACUACCUUCUCACUACAGUCCAUGCUGGGUCUAGAAUCCCAGCCAGGAACUUGUGGGAGACCAGAAAGUGGUCCAGCAGCACACACGCAGGAGACACGCACAGGCCCAACCUGACAGAUUCAGACCGAAGCAAAACAGCAGACGGAUGGACACAAAGGUAAAUGCUCAGAGCCUAGGGGCUGUGCCUUGCUCUGAGGCUGUUGGCGAGGUGCCACCCCCACGCCAGGCUCCAGUUCCCUCCUCACUCCCCCUAGAACUUGCUCCAGUCAGGAGCCCUGCACUCCGUAGGGGGUCCCACUCCACAACAAACAUGUGAGGCCACCUCCCCUCUGCCCCUGGGGCCCCUCCCUGUUUCCUCCCAGCUGGGGCUGCCUCUCCAGUCCCUGCUGAUCCGUCCUCAGGCAGCCAGCUCUGGACACGUGGGGCGCCAUCCAGACCACCAACCCCUCUUCCUACACUCCCACGCGGUCUCAUCCAGCAGCCUGUCUGCAGCACCAUCUGUGUGACUCUUACACUCAAGUUCUCCUAAGUUCCAGCAAACACCACUGCCUACUCAGUACACCCACGUGUCCAAGAGGAUCUCAAAAUGCUGUCUGUCCAAAACUGACCCGUGGAUGGUCAACAGUCCUACCCCAGCCCUGCUCCACUCCCCGCCGUGUGCAUCUCAGAAAACGAAGGCAAUGGAGACACGGACAGCAGGAUGACAUGGCUCUGCACCCCUGCGGGCCCACAAUCCAGUGAAGACAACAGACACUGAACAAAACCUAACAUGCACUGAGGGGACGGCAUGGGGUCAGGAGCCGUUAUAAUUAGGGGAAUGGCUUAAACCAUCACGACAGUUCGACUCACUAAGGUUAUAUUAUAGACAACUAAAAGUUGCUAAUUUAUGAAUUCAGUAAGUUUUAAUGUUGAAAAACUCAGCAAUUGGGCCGUGGCCCCCUAGUCAAAAUUAUCAUAAAAGAAGUCUCUCAACAUUUAAGAGGAUUUUAAUGAAGAUGACAGAAUAAAAUGUCAUUUUUGAGUACUACUAUAAACCCAUAAUUCUAAGUAUUUUUAUACAACAGAAGUAAAAUAACAUCUAGUUUCCAAAUAUUUUCUACCUGUUUUUUUUAGGAUGAAGGUUCAUGGAACCUCAUAAAGUUUUUCAGUUGAGAAAAACUACAUGAAUAUGGCUAAAUUCUACAACUUACAAGUCUCCUUGUCUAAGACCGAAAGGUGUAAAAACGACUUACAGAUGUCACUCUCUGAAUUCAGAGAACAGCUGUAAAGACAAUGAAACAUAACAUCAACAACUAAGUCUAAGGGCUACGACAUAAAGCAACUUGAAUUAAACGUCUCCUCUUUAGGAAGACAAACAUAAACAGCAAAAUAAAUGCUGAAUUUCACUAGCAUGGAUCUGAGUAAGGAAAAGCAACUUACUACCGACAGGAGAAAUGUCAAGAGAGAGGACCACAUGCUGCAACUAUCAGCAGGCUAUCAACAAUCUACCUAUUUUUAAGGCAUUUCUUCCCAAAUUACCAUUCCGUUUACACUUAAAGAUUGUACACUUUACUUGAGACAUGAGGCAUAUAGAGAUGAAGGCAGCCACUGGGAGCUGGCCUGGCUCAGUGAGGAGCGGUCAGGCCACAGCAGCACCUACCUUAAACAGGGCGUAUGCUGUCAGUGCGUUUCCACUCUGGGAAUUUUUCAGAAUGUUUACUACGCUGUCAGGUAACCCAAUAAGUUCUAGAAAGGGAACGACAUUCACUCCUCUAAGAAAGAAACAGAAAACAAUUUACAUACAUAUACACACAUAUACAUACACACAAAUUUUUGGUGAUAAGUACUUUUAAAAGAUUAUCUGAAAACAUCAAAACCCAAUUUUGUUUAAAAGUUAAUUCUGCAUCAUUGAACAAUACUGCCCGAACGUCAGUGUCCUGCCGUGUCUCACUGUUUACAACUUCUGCUCACGGACAUCAUUUAUCACAGCAAAAUCAACAGCAGUAAGUAACCUAAGAGAAAAGGAUCAGAAUCAUUCACCUGACCUUACGAUCUUUAGUUCCUUAGAAUGCUCCAACUCAAACUUCCAGACCUAAGAUUUUUACCUCUAAAAUUAUACGUCAAAUUAUACUGUUACUGUAAAAGCAAGCGAUACUAUGACAUCACUUACUGAGUUACCAUGCAAAGAACAAAUGACCAUGGGCUUGAUGCAAAUUUCACUUAUUCUGAAAGGAAGCUUCUGUUCAGACUUAAAGGGCAGGUGAAGAAGCAAUGACCGUAAAUUACAGCAAAUUUCUGGAGGGAGGAAGAGAAGGCAGAGAAAGUCUGUCACCUGAACUGUUAAACCCUCAUUUAUUUUCAGUUUCCCCGAGUGUCAAGAGCUCGCCACGCUGGCGCUGCCCUCUCCUCCCAGUGUGUAGUUCUGCAGCCGCCAGGAACCUUCACCCCCAGCCAACGAGUCUCUGUUCUGUGCUUCUCCUUCGUAAAGCACAGCAAUCACCACAGUUAGGAGCCUUGACUCUGUACAGGAUGUAGUUAACACGACGGCACACUGUUCAAUGCUGAAGUUCCCUGACUGUCCCGCGUGUCCCCUGUCACUGUCUCAUCACGUCUUCCAGCUUCUUUCCUCCACAAGUGCUGCCCAGCACUCUCUGUUGAGGAGGUGGCAGGCCAUCUUUUCGUGUCAAGGUUUCUGAAGCUCCCAGGCCAGCUGUGUGGAGGAACUGCCCUGGAUGUGGACCUGUCCUAAUGCCUCCUCACGAGCCGACUCGGGCUAAGUGCUUUCCAAUGGGAAAGCUGCAGAGCAGACUCUGGUCCAUCUCGGAGCAUCGUAAUGGGAGCCACGGGGUCCAUCUGAUCCAUCCCUGGGGAGUGACUCUGGGUUAAGGUGGAAUCCACAGGCUGCUCCUCUGUGCAGGUGCUCGUCCCCUUUGUACUGAAGAGGGAGCUGCCUGGAUGCAUUCUAAUUAUGGUGGUUAUAACCUCCUCGCUUAUUCUUAAUACUAAAAAAAUGGGGAAAAGCUGUCUGUCUCUGAUGUCACAACACUUAACGGACCAGGGACUGCUCUCAAUAAUAUGGCUGCUCAUAAUCAAGGAGCGUUUCCUAUUGUCUAAGGAGGGAACCAGGUAACGGAAGGAGACUCUACAGAGUUAAACAUCAACUACAAGUCCAGUCUGUUUCUUUCAGCGCCAUCAGCUCCUCCUCCCACCUCUCUCUCUCAGAUAACAACAGGAUGUCCUGAAGCAAGACUCAGCUGUGGAACUAACACAGUCGCAGGAACGUCCACCACAACACGCUCAUCCAGCCCUGGCUUCAGGUACCAACACAACCAUCAGGUUCUCUCAUUAAUCAUUUCCUAGCUCAGACUAAGCGUGGUAUGUAAAAUCCACAGAUUUAACAGCAGUCAUGCAAGGGAGAAAAAAGACAAACAUCUGGAUAAUAUAAGACAAAAUUAAGUGACUUUUAAAAAAAACUAUCACGAAGACAAACAAUUAUAACCUCAGACCUCUUGCGUCAGUAUUCCAUGUAAAAUAAAGGAACCUGGUUCCACUUAUCUCAGCUAUUAACUUGAUGACUUAAUUUUCUGAAAAAUACAAGUAACUUUCACUUCCUUUGGAAUUACUAAAUACAAAGUAUUAAUGAGGGUCUGAUCCAAAGAGUAAUAUCCACUUGUCUCACGUUUCACACUGAAGGUCCCGCGGCCCGACAGACACCUGUGCUUCACAAGUGCCAGCUUUCUGGGUGGUCCCACAGAUGCAGGAGCACGUCCACCCUGGAUGCAGGACAAUCGGCCAGGGCUCUGCAUCACAGUGGGCCUGUAACUUCAGAGACUCGAGGCCCCAGCUCGGGACAAAACUGUCAUUGCAGCGCCACUUGAUCCAACAGACACUUCUCGUUAGAAGAUGUACGAUCUCUGCAAACUCUCCAGAGUGGCAGCAAAGCUUAGUUUAAAAUAAGAUCUGUGAGCAUGCACGACUUAGACCUCCCUGAAAUGUUUCAGAAGCCUGAGACCUUUAUCACCAUGUGAGCUAAACAAACAGAUGGCAUUUUGCUCUGUGGUGCCCAAUGAGGCAGUAACGCCAGUCGUCAGUGACUGAAACAAACACUGGUCAUUAGUGCCAAGUGACAUCAAAUGCCCACACUUCAAGUUACAAACUGUUUUUCAUUUUUUCUUUUAAUAGCAAGUAAGCAACAGAGAACUUUCUCCAGCUAAAACCGAAUAAAAUAAAGCCAGCCCCUGGUUAGCUGAAUUGAAAACCUGUAUUUAACAGAAUCAACUCUAAAUUUACAAUUAAAUCAUCUCACAGUGCAAGAUACAUUGCUACUUGAACAUACCCUAAAUCCUUACUUUCUAAGUAUCGUUUUUGAUAAGACCUUCACUUAGAGCAAAUGAAAUUUCAAUUUCAAUUUCUGAAGUAUUAAGGAUUUAAUACAAACAUUAAGAAGGACUGUUCUGGGAAGCAGCACAUCCUACAUAAUGUAACUUAGGUACAAGAUGCUGUCACAGAACUGGACCAGUGGUUGUGGCUGGGCAGCAGUGGUAGGUCUGGCAACCAAAAUCCCACGCUGACAAACAGCCAAAGGCAGGCUGUGGUGGAGAAGGGAUAUGACCUUAAGGUGGACAGCCUUACACCACCAUGUUUACACACAAGCAUUCACAGAAAAAAAGAGGGAAGGGCAAAACCAAAGGCGCAUUCCACAGGGGACAGAACAUCACCACGACCGCUUCGGUGCUAGACAGCAAUGGAGAAGUGCUCAGUCUGAGUAUCACGAGGCUGUUUCGGGGUCUGCUUUUUCAGUUACAGAACUCGCUAACUGAAGGCGAGGAACAAAAUACUCUUUUAAACAGUCUAAUUGAGAAUCUCCAAUUCAAUUAAUUAGAAACUUAGAUUUCUCCCUCUAAGGGCAAGAGGCCGAAUGGUUAUUAAAGGCAGCCUAAGGAGGGCAAAAGAAACACAGAAGAAAUUCACUAUCCUCCACAAAACUGACUCAGAAAAACCCUCAAAGGAUAAAAAAAAAAUUGUUUUUACCGUACAGAAAGCCGUUAGUUAAACAGAAGAACUGAAUGCCUAUGAAAUUUUUAUGCAAAAUGGUAAACGAUUUUAUGCUGUUAAAAAAAACUAAGGGCAGUUCUUAAGGUUUCUAUAAAUAUCACGUGUUGGAGCAAAUGUCAUUAAUAAAGAGAUAAUUCCACAAAAUGCACAUACAAGGGUCUCUGCAAAGAAAGGAACAGUUCUUAAUGUGAUACAUAGAGGAGGAAAUAACUUAGUAACAGGAGCAUAAACGGAGAGAGAGACAUGAAGAGAAACAACAGCACUGGUCACACGAGGUUAAAAAAUCCUUUUAGAACUUCUGUGAAGAACUAUUUCUAAGCCCGUGUUUCCCAAGAAUAAGAACAGUCUCCAUUCCAUCAACUCUUAAUUUAGUAAAUGGUAACUUUUUCCAAGGAGUGAGCUUUAUAGUAAGAUAUUUCAUUAAUGCCUUAAUACAAACCAUGGACUAUAACACUGAAAGUCAGUGGGCUUUUGGAAAGUAUGAAAUAAUUAUAAAUCGUUAGGGGUGUUUACGAAAGCAUCACAGUGGUCUCCACUGCCCAUCUCGUCACCUGCAGGACGCAUGCUCAGCCCUGCUGGUGGCAGAGACACACGGAGUCACCGGGCAUCUGCUUCUGCAUGAGCUCCUGGCUCCUGAAACAGCGUGAAUACUACAGCUCACCUUAAAAAAAGGCACAGCAUUUAACAAGAAAGGUACAUGGAGAAAUUCUAAUACCUAGAGGCUAGGCCCACCAAACUAACUUUUUAAAAAACAUCUAUUUUAUUGUGGUAAAAAUACCUCACACGAGAUCUGCUCUCUUCCCAAGAUUUCAAGUGCACAGCAAACCAACCUCUGACCAGAACAAAGACCUGACCUUGACGUUCAUCAGAUGCGAGAAACAUUAAAGCGUAAGUCUGUGACCUGUUCACUUUUGUGUCUGCAGUAGGUAUUAGCCAGGCUUCAUUUCCAACCAAAAUCAUACUUAUGGCAAACUCUUCACACAUUUAUAAACACUUUAAGAACCAUGUAAGUAUGGAACUAACUGCCUGUGCUGCCCAAUUUCCAGAAUCUGGUAUUUUAUUUCUGCAUUUUCCUAGAUGUUGACGGGAUGUGAGCAGAGUGAUUAAGAUCUGAAAUCAGACUCUGAAGUGUUUUGGGAAAUACUAAGUUAUUUUGACUUAUUCUUGCUUAAUCUGUUUGCUCAUUAACAAAAUAAGUACUACCUGCUUCA